CGGUGGAGCACGUGGUUUAAUUCGAUGCAAACCGAAGAACCUUUACCUGGGUUUGACAUACAGGUGGUAGAGCGAAGAGAUUCAAUCGACUCUGCAGUAAUGCAGAGAGCCUGCACAGGUGCUGCAUGGCUGUCGUCAGCUCGUGUCGUGAGAUGUUGGGUUAAGUCCGCAACGAGCGCAACCCCUAUUGCCAGUUGCUAACAGGAGAGCUGAGCACUCUGGCGAGACUGCCGCCGACAAGGCGGAGGAAGGUGGGGAUGACGUCAAGUCAUCAUGGCCUUUAUGCCCAGGGCUACACACGUGCUACAAUGGCCGGCACAGACGGCAGCUUAGUGGCGACACUUGGCAAAUCCUCUAAAGCCGGUCCCAGUUCGGAUUGCAGUCUGCAACUCGACUGCAUGAAGCCGGAAUCGCUAGUAAUCGCAGAUCAGCCAAGCUGCGGUGAAUACGUUCCCGGGCCUU
rnacentral:rRNA from 1 species